rnacentral:precursor_RNA from 1 species
GUGCUCACAUGUCAACCAGGGGGUGACGCUCCAUGAUAGUGCCCUGAUUAACAUGUCAGUACA